AUGGUAGGACUGGACUGGCAAUCUGGCAUACUGGGCCCAGUGGGCUGAAACAUUUGUGGGCUUGAUGGGUUGAUGCACCAGCUCUGUGAGCACUGGCAGCAUCCCAUUUGUUCAUUUUCAUGAGUUACACUAGAUUGCCCGAUCAUCUUAACACAGCCGGCCCAUCCCCUACCUUCCCUGUGUGCUCAUGUGCCUCAUGUAGAACAGAAGUGGGUAAAUCAGAUGGACAACAAAAGGGAAAAGGUGGAACUGACAAACUAAGAGAGAAAAAGAAAAAAGAAAGUAGAAACAGAUGUGGCAAAAUGUAUCAAAUUAACUGCACUGUCAGCAGUAGUACCAUCACCCUCUGCUUGCCCACCACCACUAUAUCUGGUUGGUUAGUGUUAGGGUUCAAUGUUGAGAGAAGAAUCCAUAAAAACCACAGAUCCAGGCGUGUGCAAUUUAGACGGCAUUUUAAUGAACACAUGUGUGAGUUCAACAACCCAAUCAGUGUUGAACUGAACUUACAAUCAUGAGACAAGGUUCUAUAUGGGUACAAUAACAAAUCCCCCUCUUUUACAAAAAUAGACAAUAGUACAGCUUACGUCAAUCCAAACCACAAAAUGUUCCCUGACCUUUAACAUUGCUCUAAAAAACAUUGUCUUCGGGUCGGUGCUUCCCCUCUUCGCUGUCGCUCGUCUGGUGCACUUCCUCUAAGUACGUCGGCACACUUCUGCAUUUCUGUGUGUAUGUGUCUGCAGUGUAUGCUACGUACGUGUCAUGACCUCUCACUAUUUGUCUGUGUGUACGUGCAGAGUUUGCAUCUGCUUUCUGAACCUUAGUUGACCUCAACUUAAGCAACCAACCAGGCUAAGGCCAUCCUGUGUGUAAUGAUCUUGACUUAUAUGUGAAAUAUAUAAACAACUGUUUCAAUCUACCACAACUGCUUAAGGCUUAAUCCGCAAUAAAUGCAUACUAAACACCCUUGCACUUAAACUUCUGGCUUCAGUUUCACUUCUGCAAAACAUGCUCUGCAGACGCGUUUUGUUUCCUGUCUCAUUUUGGCACAGAGAGUAUUGUCCUGUCUCUGCCCUCUACACAGAGAGAUCAUAAAAGCAUUAAUAACAUUUAAAUUAUAGAUUCAACAGAACCAUUUAAAAUGGUUCUUCUUUGGACCUGUAAUAAAGGCUAUAACCAUAUAUUUGAACAUCUGAAUGCAUCUAACUGCAACCUCACUAUUAAUACUGAAAUGUUAAUGAUGAUUAUAAAAAUAGCAGCAACUAAUAGCAGGACAAUAUUU
ensembl:lncRNA